CCUACGGGAGACUGCAGUGAGGAAUAUUGGUCAAUGGCCGGAAGGCUGAACCAGCCAAGUCGCGUGAGGGACGACUGCCCUAUGGGUUGUAAACCUCUUUUAUAAGGGAAGAAUAAAUGCUACGUGUAGCAUGAUACAUGUACCUUAUGAAUAAGCAUCGGCAAACUCGGUGCCAGCAGCCGCGGUAAUAAGGAGGAUGCGAGCGUUAUCCGGAUUUAUUGGGGUAAACGGGUGCGUAGGCGUUGUUUUAAGUUAGUGGUUAAACGUCGGGGCUAAACUUUGAUUUGCCAUUAAUACUGUAAGACUCGAGUUUUGACGAGGUAGGCAGAAUAAGUUAAGUAGCGGUGAAAUGCUUAGAGAUAACUUAGAACUCCGAUAGCGAAGGCAGCUUACCAGACUACGACUGACGCUGAAGUGCGAGAGCGUGGGUAGCGAACAGGAUUAGAUACCCUUGUAGUC
rnacentral:rRNA from 1 species